UACAGAGGUCUCAAGCGUUGUUCGGAGUUACUGGGCGUAAAGGGUGCGUAGGCGGUCCUGUAAGUAUGGUGUGAAAUCUCCCGGCUUAACUGGGAGGGUGCGCUAUAGACUGCGGGACUAGAGGGUGGGAGAGGAAAGUGGAAUUCCUGGUGUAGCGGUGAAAUGCGUAGAUAUCAGGAGGAACACCGGUGGUGUAAACGGCUUUCUGGACCAUUUCUGACGCUGAGGCACGAAAGCGUGGGUAGCAAACAGG
rnacentral:rRNA from 1 species